AGAACGAACGCUGGCGGCAUGCCUAAUACAUGCAAGUCGAACGAACUCUUCGGAGUUAGUGGCGCACGGGUGCGUAACGCGUGGGAAUCUGCCCCUUGGUUCGGAAUAACAGUUGGAAACGACUGCUAAUACCGGAUGAUGACGAAAGUCCAAAGAUUUAUCGCCAAGGGAUGAGCCCGCGUAGGAUUAGCUAGUUGGUGAGGUAAGCUCACCAAGGCAACGAUCCUUAGCUGGUCUGAGAGGAUGAUCAGCCACACUGGGACUGAGACACGGCCCAGACCUCCUACGGGAGGCAGCAGUAGGGAAUAGUUGACAAUGGGACGAAAGCCUAGACUCCAGCAAUGCCGCGUGAGUGAUGAGUCUUAGGUAUAAGCUCUUUACCGAGUA
rnacentral:rRNA from 1 species